rnacentral:piRNA from 1 species
CUCACCUUUCAGCUUGGUUGACCAAGUGCGGG